GGGUGGAUUAGUGGCGAACGGGUGAGUAACACGUGAGUAACCUGCCCCCGACUUUGGGAUAAGCCCGGGAAACUGGGUCUAAUACCGGAUAUGACUUCCUGCCGCAUGGUGGGUUGUUGAAAGAUUUAUCGGUGGGGGAUGGACUCGCGGCCUAUCAGCUUGUUGGUGAGGUAAUGGCUCACCAAGGCGACGACGGGUAGCCGGCCUGAGAGGGUGACCGGCCACACUGGGACUGAGACACGGCCCAGACUCCUACGGGAGGCAGCAGUGGGGAAUAUUGCACAAUGGGCGGAAGCCUGAUGCAGCGACGCCGCGUGAGGGAUGACGGCCUUCGGGUUGUAAACCUCUUUCAGUAGGGAAGAAGCGAAAGUGACGGUACCUGCAGAAGAAGCGCCGGCUAACUACGUGCCAGCAGCCGCGGUAAUACGUAGGGCGCAAGCGUUAUCCGGAUUUAUUGGGCGUAAAGAGCUCGUAGGCGGUUUGUCGCGUCUGCCGUGAAAGUCCGAGGCUCAACCUCGGAUCUGCGGUGGGUACGGGCAGACUAGAGUGAUGUAGGGGAGACUGGAAUUCCUGGUGUAGCGGUGAAAUGCGCAGAUAUCAGGAGGAACACCGAUGGCGAAGGCAGGUCUCUGGGCAUUUACUGACGCUGAG
rnacentral:rRNA from 1 species